CCUACGGGAGGCAGCAGUAGGGAAUUUUGCGCAAUGGGCGAAAGCCUGACGCAGCAACGCCGCGUGAGCGAGACGCGCUUCGGGGUGUAAAAAUCUUUCAUGCGGGGCGAAACGUGACGGUACCGACAGAGGAGGCACAGGAUAACUCCGUGCCAGCAGCCGCGGUAAUACGGGGGGUGCAAGCGUUGUCCGGAAUUACUGGGCGUAAAGAGUUCGUAGGCGGCACGUAAAGUCUGGUGGUAAAGGCAGAGGCUCAACUUCUGUACGGCACUUGACACUGGCGAGCUAGAAUGCGGUAGAGGUAAGGGGAAUUCCUGGUGUAGCGGUGAAAUGCUUAGAUAUCAGGAGGAACAUCGGUGGCGAAGGCGCUUUACUGGCCCGUAAUUGACGCUUAGGAACGAAAGCCAGGGUAGCAAAUGGGAUUAGAUACCCCAGUAGUC
rnacentral:rRNA from 1 species